rnacentral:rRNA from 1 species
AACGAACGCUGGCGGCAGGCCUAACACAUGCAAGUCGAGCGCCCGCAAGGGAGCGGCGGACGGGUGAGUAACGCGUGGGAACGUACCCUUUGCUACGGAAUAGCCUCGGGAAACUGGGAGUAAUACCGUAUGUGCCCUUCGGGGGAAAGAUUUAUCGGCAAAGGAUCGGCCCGCGUUGGAUUAGGUAGUUGGUGGGGUAAUGGCCUACCAAGCCGACGAUCCAUAGCUGGUUUGAGAGGAUGAUCAGCCACACUGGGACUGAGACACGGCCCAGACUCCUACGGGAGGCAGCAGUGGGGAAUCUUAGACAAUGGGCGCAAGCCUGAUCUAGCCAUGCCGCGUGAGCGAUGAAGGCCUUAGGGUUGUAAAGCUCUUUCAGUGGGGAAGAUAAUGACUGUACCACAGAAGAAGCCCGGCUAACUCCGUG